rnacentral:rRNA from 1 species
UACGUAGGGUGCGAGCGUUGUCCGGAAUUAUUGGGCGUAAAGAGCUUGUAGGCGGUUUGUCGCGUCUGCCGUGAAAAUCCGGGGCUCAACCCCGGGCCUGCAGUGGGUACGGGCAGACUAGAGUGCGGUAGGGGAGACUGGAAUUCCUGGUGUAGCGGUGAAAUGCGCAGAUAUCAGGAGGAACACCGGUGGCGAAGGCGGGUCUCUGGGCCGUAACUGACGCUGAGGAGCGAAAGCGUGGGGAGCGAACAGG